UGGGGAAUAUUGCACAAUGGGGGAAACCCUGAUGCAGCGACGCCGCGUGAGCGAUGAAGGCUUUCGAGUCGUAAAGCUCUGUCCUAUGGGAAGAUAAUGACAGUACCAUACGAAUAAGGACCGGCUAAUUACGUGCCAGCAGCCGCGGUAAUACGUAAGGUCCGAGCGUUGUCCGGAAUCAUUGGGCGUAAAGGGUACGUAGGCGGAUAAGCAAGUUAGAAGUGAAAUCCUAUAGCUCAACUAUAGUAAGCUUUUAAAACUGCUCAUCUUGAGGUAUGGAAGGGAAAGUGGAAUUCCUAGUGUAGCGGUGAAAUGCGCAGAUAUUAGGAGGAAUACCGGUGGCGAAGGCGACUUUCUGGCCAUAUACUGACGCUGAGGUACGAAAGCGUGGGUAGCAAACAGG
rnacentral:rRNA from 1 species